rnacentral:lncRNA from 1 species
UAUGGAUGCAAAGGGCUGCCUGCUGCAUACUGAAUACUGAGUUAAUCACUGGGACAGAUAUUAGCAUUUACCACACAACAAUCAGGAAGUCAAAUUUAAUUGUAACCACAAGUGCGGUGUUGGGCGCUGUUUUCAGUAGGGGUGAUAAGGUGCAAGUUCGGCAGCCAUAGUGAGGAUCAUACAGAAUCUAUAUGUACAAGAUACAUUUCAAAUGGGCAAAUCUCAGGGUCAUUCUGGAGCCAGCCUCACCGUCUGCUUUGCUGUGUAAGGAGUGAACGAACUGUAAAGCGACUUCACCCUGGACUCCGGGGAGAAUGGGGAAAUUCCCCUGGAAGCCCAAAGUGAACAGAAGCCAAACACUGGGCUUUUUCUGAGCAAAUAUUUUGAGAGAAACCAAAGUGAUGAUGAGGUGGAAGGCUGCAUGGGGCUGUCCCCUCACACAGACGCAAGUCGAUGAAAACAGGGAUUCGCACAGAUGAAUCAUUGCCAGUCCUCUCCAGAGAGCCUUCGCUAAUGGCAAC